rnacentral:rRNA from 1 species
CGUUGUCCGGAUUUAUUGGGCGUAAAGCGAGCGCAGGCGGGUUUUUUAAGUCUGAUGUGAAAGCCUUCGGCUCAACCGAAGAAGUGCAUCGGAAACUGGGAAACUUGAGUGCAGAAGAGGACAGUGGAACUCCAUGUGUAGCGGUGAAAUGCGUAGAUAUAUGGAAGAACACCAGUGGCGAAGGCGGCUGUCUGGUCUGUAACUGACGCUGAGGCUCGAAAGUAUGGGUAGCAAACAGGAUUAGAUACCCUGGUAGUCCAUACCGUAAACGAUGAAUGCUAAGUGUUGGAGGGUUUCCGCCCUUCAGUGCUGCAGCUAACGCAUUAAGCAUUCCGCCUGGGGAGUACGG